GACGAACGCUGGCGGCGUGCUUAACACAUGCAAGUCGAACGGAAAGGCCCUGCUUUUGUGGGGUGCUCGAGUGGCGAACGGGUGAGUAACACGUGAGUAACCUGCCCUUGACUUUGGGAUAACUUCAGGAAACUGGGGCUAAUACCGGAUAGGAGCUCCUGCUGCAUGGUGGGGGUUGGAAAGUUUCGGCGGUUGGGGAUGGACUCGCGGCUUAUCAGCUUGUUGGUGGGGUAGUGGCUUACCAAGGCUUCGACGGGUAGCCGGCCUGAGAGGGUGACCGGCCACAUUGGGACUGAGAUACGGCCCAGACUCCUACGGGAGGCAGCAGUGGGGAAUAUUGCACAAUGGGCGGAAGCCUGAUGCAGCAACGCCGCGUGCGGGAUGACGGCCUUCGGGUUGUAAACCGCUUCCGCCUGUGACGAAGCGUGAGUGACGGUAAUGGGUAAAGAAGCACCGGCUAACUACGUG
rnacentral:rRNA from 1 species